rnacentral:rRNA from 1 species
UGGGGAAUAUUGGACAAUGGGCGCAAGCCUGAUCCAGCCAUGCCGCGUGAGUGAUGAAGGCCUUAGGGUUGUAAAGCUCUUUCGCCGACGAAGAUAAUGACGGUAGUCGGAGAAGAAGCCCCGGCUAACUUCGUGCCAGCAGCCGCGGUAAUACGAAGGGGGCUAGCGUUGUUCGGAAUCACUGGGCGUAAAGCGCACGUAGGCGGAUUGUUAAGUCAGGGGUGAAAGCCUGGAGCUCAACUCCAGAACUGCCCUUGAUACUGGCAAUCUCGAGUCCGGAAGAGGUAAGUGGAACUGCGAGUGUAGAGGUGAAAUUCGUAGAUAUUCGCAAGAACACCAGUGGCGAAGGCGGCUUACUGGUCCGGUACUGACGCUGAGGUGCGAAAAGCGUGGGGAGCAAAACAGGAUUAGAUACCCUGGUAGUCCACGCCGUAAACGAUGGAGGCUAGCCGUUGGCGAGCAUGCUCGUCAGUGGCGCAGCUAACGCAUUAAGCCUCCCGCCUGGGGAGUACGGUCGCAAGAUUAAAACUCAAAGGAAUUGACGGGGGUCAUG